UGAUUGUGUGUGGGGUGGAUAGAAAGGGGAGGAUGGUCAUGGGGAGAGGGAAUAUUGAGAGAAUGAGAGAGAGAGGAGGAAGGAGCAUGAUGAGAGUGGUGGCAGAGAGGGGGGACAAACUUAUUAUGGUUUCUCUCUAUUAUUUUUUUACGCCUGUAAGGCUGAAAAUCUAAGCACUAAAGCCCAGUAAAAAUCUAGUCGGGCUAGGUCAAGUGGGCCAGGUUGAUUUUGCACAAGUUUACCGAGAAUAUGCUUAAAUGCAUUACAAACGCAUUUAAUUCAUUAAAACCCUUUAAAUCCAAUUAAUUUUAUCACGUGCAGUUUCUGUGGACAAUAAUGAAUAACCCACAAAGAAUAGUCGACAAAUAGGAAAUUCUGUGGGUGACGGCUGAAAAUUUACUUAGAUGUAUUACAGAUUUAUUUAAUUUGUUAAUAUCCUUUAGCACCGUUAUUAUCUCCAAUGUCCUAUUUUCUAUGGGCUAUGGUUGAAUAAUCCACAGAAGAUGGUUAAUGCUCAUGGAAAUCUCUGUAAAUGACAACUGCCAAUUGGCUGUGAUAGUGGAUAUGUGUAGAUGCAUUAUAAAUGCAUUUAAUUCAUUACUAUUUUUCAGCUUCAACAUAAUUUACAUUGUCUAGUAUUUGUGGGCUUUAGUUGAAUAAACCACCAAAAAUGGUUAAUGCUUGAGUUUUUUUUUUUUUGCAUGUGACAACAGCUAGCACAAACAGUUAAGAUAGCACAUGUUCAUGAGGAACUUUAAUGAUGUCAAGUCUAUCAAGUCCGCCAAUUUCCUCUGUUCAAGCACUUGUAGAAGGCAAUUCAGAAGGUUGGAGAGGGAGGAGAGUUGUUUCAUUUUCAGUUUACUGUAGGAUGUGGCAGGGUAAAAAGGGAAUGUCUGAUGUAAAUGUUAAUCCUAGCCCUAGCCUCUCCAAUGAAAUUCCACAUUCUAAUAGCUCUAGCUCCAGUUUGAAUUCGAGUUUCAGUAUAGAUUCAAGUUCGACUGUCUACUAAUCAAACCAAAAAUGGUAAUGGGCAUGACAGAGAAGAUUGGGUCAGAAUUCAAGAUGAUGAAGGUAUAGUUUCAGUAGCCAAAGAAGAAGCAGAUGUAUAAGAUUUGAUCUGAUCUCAAUUUAUACAAUUUAAUAGGUCUUUACUUCCUUUUUUUCUAUCCUUAUGCUUAGGUGAUCCCAAAUGCCAUUUUGAGGUUGUUUCAAAUCUUCAUUUCCUAUAUUGGGUUGCUAUUUAUCAAUUAACCUUCUCUCUCUUUCUGUCUGUCUCUCUCUAUAUAUAUAUGUGUGGAAUCCAUACAUGCACGUUUAAAUGCACCCCAACUACAGUUAAUGUGAACUGCUUUUCUCCAAAAAAAAGGCAUCUUGUAUUUGCUACCUUAUUACUACUACUACUAUUGCCUUUUUUUCAAGAUAGAAAACACUGGAAAUUUGUUUGUAAUUUAUAUUUUGGAUGUAUAAAUAUCCCAUUAGCAAAGCAUGUUUAUUCUUCAUAAAACCUGUCCUCGGCCUUAACUGCUUUUGUUUUGGCAUAUGUGGAGAGGCUGAACUUUAUUUUCACUGGAAAUAAUAAAUUGUAGGUUUUCAUUUUGCUUAAAAUGAGGUGGAAGUUCAAACACUGAGUUUCAUGCAUAUUCCUAACUUACCUUUUUUUGUUUUUUAAGGAAGCUAGAUUUAAUUUCAGAAGCCUGUAGGACACUUGAAAGGACCUCAUCCAUAUGAACUUGUCUAAAAAGCCUGAUCAGCCAACUUGACCCAACCUAGUCAACCUUAACUGGCUGUGCUAGAUCCAAUCCCAUUAUUCUUGACCUACUUGAUGCAACCUAAGUGAUUU
rnacentral:lncRNA from 1 species